rnacentral:rRNA from 1 species
AACGAACGCUGGCGGCAGGCUUAACACAUGCAAGUCGAACGCCCCGCAAGGGGAGUGGCAGACGGGUGAGUAACGCGUGGGAACAUACCCAUCACUACGGAAUAACUCAGGGAAACUUGUGCUAAUACCGUAUACGACCGAGAGGUGAAAGAUUUAUCGGUGAUGGAUUGGCCCGCGUUGGAUUAGCUAGUUGGUGGGGUAAAGGCCUACCAAGGCGACGAUCCAUAGCUGGUCUGAGAGGAUGAUCAGCCACAUUGGGACUGAGACACGGCCCAAACUCCUACGGGAGGCAGCAGUGGGGAAUAUUGGACAAUGGGCGCAAGCCUGAUCCAGCCAUGCCGCGUGAGUGAUGAAGGCCUUAGGGUUGUAAAGCUCUUUCACCGGAGAAGAUAAUGACGGUAUCCGGAGAAGAAGCCCCGGCUAACUUCGUGCCAGCAGCCGCGGUAAGAC